AGGGUUUCAAUCCCUCCUGGUGAUGCCAACAAGGAUGACACGUCAGAAAUAGGAAGCCUCCUGCGUUGACACGUCAGAUACGCUCCGUAUCACUUAAAGCUCUGUCGGAACGGGCUUCACGUUGGCUUCGUCACGUACAUAAUUAACAUACGAAUCUAUAAUUAUUAUUGUUUCCGUUUGGGCUUUCAUUUAUAUUCGUUGUUAUUAUUUAGCUUCAUAGAGCCCAUUUAUAAAGAGUAAGUCAUCUACUCAAAACGCUACGUUUUUGAUUCUAUGGUUUUAUCCUGUCUUUUUUCUCAGCCGCUGCGAUACCAUACCCCACUCUAGGGUUUCGAUCGAGAUGUUUCAUCUUCUUCCUACGGAUUCAGAAAUCUACCAGUUACAGAUUCAUCAUCUUAAAGUUCUUAUUAGAUCCAUCAUCCAUGAUCUACUUUGAAUGCGAGAUUCGCUCAUGCAAGGCGGUGUAUCUACGGGUAUAAAAAGGUAUGCUUCACUCAUCUCAAAACCAUCUUUCCAACAAGACUCCGAUAGGAAACGAACCGGAAAGAACUCAAACAGCGGCGCUUCUGCGGUUUCCUCAGGUGUGAAGCUAGCUCAGGAUCAUCACGGGGCAAAAAGAAUCCUAUUCAGAUGCUAUUUAAGAAGGCUAAUCUAGCAAUAUAAAGAGAAGAGAAAAUCGCUAUUAUAAGUUCCAACAGGUGCAGGAAGAGUAUAUUACUGAAGCUAAUUAUUAGUUUAGAGAAAGCAAUGAAAGGUGCAGUUGUUCUUGGAGAGCACAAUGUAGUGCCAAACUACUUUGAACAGUUUCAGCUUAGGUGGAGUCAACCAAAAUCGUCCCGGAAGUGGCUCCAAGUAUGGUGGUGUCCAGUAACUUAAGAGCGUAACACUUACGAUCUAAACGUAUACAUUCUCAACAAUCCUCUGCAGUCAGGCGGAGUUUCUUUACUCUAGGAAAGUUGAGGCCAUCGAAACUUGCAACGGAUGCUGCUAUGUUUCGUGUUCCCAAAUGUUCAAAAAAAACUGCAGUGUGGACUAUCAUCCUUCAGCCGCACGAUAUGUAUUGCCAUAGCUGCAAUCGGUGCCGCCACGUGAUACUCCGCCUCUUUGAAAGACUACUCAUGGAGCUUGGGUUUAGAAUAGCUGUGUUUGUUGUUUUCGACUCAGCAUCUAACUUGCGAUGGUUGUCUCAGAUAAGACAGAAACAGCUGUAUUGCUUUCGACUCAACAAUGACAUCUAACAAAUGUUUGUGCCACAGAGUUGACACUGAAAUGGGACAAGGUGGAUGAGGGUGGGAGCAGUGUCGCAGAACCCAUACGGGCGUUACCAGAUCCUACGCCUAUGAAGCCAAAGAGCAUUUACGAUUUUGAGUAAAACUCAUAAUAAUGUGCCCUCUAAUCUCAAGCAGCUCAAUUGUCAUCUACUAUCUUUUAAUAGAUUCUGCUUCCAGUUUAUUAAUUGUAAGGCCUUUUAAAUCUUCGUCCUAUAUAAUUAUUUGGGUUUUUAUUACAAAUAAAAACUUUCACAUCUAAAUAUGUUAAUAAUAAUACAUUGCCAGUA